UCGCUGUCUGCUUUUGGCUUUGUCUGGGUACACCUCCUCCUGCCUAUGAUCCCUUCAAACUCUUUAAUUUUGCUUAUGUUUAAUCUUAUUAAAUUAGGUUUUUCUUAUCUACCGGUUCUGUUAUUGUAUUCAUCAAGCGGAGGUAUUUUGGAUCGACCACCACCCGGUGCUUGAACGCCUCUAUCUGCAAAUUCUGAUUACUCAUUUGUCCUGCUCCCGCCCGAACGCCGACUCCGAUCUACUCCUCAAAUUUAAUUCUGAGACUACCCAACCGAAAUCCUUUAGUUUUUGACGAUGGUGUCGAAAACCAGAAACCAGUGGGAGAAAUAUAUGUACGAAAAGGCGGGUUAGGGUUUUGAAAUCGUAGGAGUCUUGUUGAGAAAAUGGAAAAGGGAGGUAGAGAUUGGGGAAAACAGAAUGAUUCACGAAAAUUAGAAACAGAGGAUAUGUUUUUUUGAUGCAAAAGAACAAGGAUCAAAUGGGUUCUCCCCAAGUUCUUCGAAUUAAGGAAACAUCAACGGGGAAGACCAUGUCUGAGCACUGAAAAUGGCGGAUCUAGAAAUUACCCACAUGGCGGACGUGAUCAAGAUGGCAUCAUCAUUGUCGACCAUGGCUCGCGUCGAAAAGAAUCCAUUCUCAUGCUAAGUAAGAAAUGAAGAUGAAUUUGUUGCCAUGUUCAGAGAUGAAACUGGGUAUCAGAUUGUGGAGCCUGCUCAUAUGUUGUUACUCGGGACUUGUUGUUGAAAGGAACAAAUAAAGUUUCUUCCUGUUGCUGGUUAUGCAGGCGACCAGUGCAGCUGUGCGGAUGUGUGGCAUGUGGGUAUCAUUUUACGCCAUGUACUUUCUUAAGAAUGGCGUUUUCGCUCUUACUGAGUUUUAUAGGGUGGUCAUCGGGAUACUUAUUUUAUGUGAGAAAGGCUGUCGUUCUUCAUUUUAAGCACACAUCAGGCAGAGGUUUUUCAAUUUCUUGGGAAAAGGUAAAUCCUCCAAUCGCUACGGUAGUUGGAAGUCGUGAAAAGUAUGCAUGGAUUUUGAUGCACAAAUUUUUUUGGGUUGCCGGUUAAUAUGUUUUGGAUUUGAAUGUUUCUUCGAGUUUGACACGUUUGCAUUUGCUUCACUCUGGUUUGCUGCAUUAUCCCUUUGAGCGAAGGCGCUAUUGCAGUUGGUGUCGGUUUGGCUGGCCUUGCAGCACAAUCUGGAUGUAUGCCAAUGGGAUAGAUAUUCAAGCUUGCAGUGUCUAGCUUCAAUGUUCGUGACUGGAGUCUUUUGGUGCUUGAGCUGUGUCAAUAAUCCACAAAUAAGAACUAUAAAGUAUCCAUCUGUUUCUGCAGCUUGCACAGAUUUCAAUCUUCAUUGUCCCCGCGCGAAUGGCCCCCGGUCCCCACAUGUCUAGCACACGGUUCGCACUCGUAUGGGAUGCGUGUAAGCAGUUAAGAAUAGUAAGCUUGGGAGAAGCUUUUCUUUUCAAUUUGUUUAUUUUGGUUGCUUAUAAUGUAGCUUUUGGGAAUCUUCUAUUUUCUUUUUGAAUUAAGACAGGAAUUGAACGAGUGGGAUAGAAGGUUCUGUCAAUUGUGGGAGUCUUGAAAAGGUUUAUUUUAAGAACAUGGUGAAGAAAA